rnacentral:rRNA from 1 species
UACGUAGGGUGCAAGCGUUAAUCGGAAUUACUGGGCGUAAAGCGCACGCAGGCGGUCUGUCAAGUCGGAUGUGAAAUCCCCGGGCUCAACCUGGGAACUGCAUCCGAAACUGGCAGGCUAGAGUCUUGUAGAGGGGGGUAGAAUUCCAGGUGUAGCGGUGAAAUGCGUAGAGAUCUGGAGGAAUACCGGUGGCGAAGGCGGCCCCCUGGACAAAGACUGACGCUCAGGUGCGAAAGCGUGGGGAGCAAACAGG